rnacentral:rRNA from 1 species
GACGAACGCUGGCGGCGUGCUUAACACAUGCAAGUCGAACGGAAAGGCCCUGCUUUCGGGGGGUGCUAGUGUCGAAAACGGGAGUGACACAUGUGAGUUCUCUGCUCCAGAUCUUGGGAUGACUUCAGGACACUGGGGAUUAUAGCGGAUAGGCGCUCCUGCGGCUGGGUGGGGGUUGGUUAGUUUGGGCGGGUGGGGAUGGACUCGCGGCUUAUUUGCUUGUUGGUGGGGUAGUGGCUUACCAAGGCAUGGAUGGGUAGCCGGCCUGAGGGGGUGACCGGCCACAUUGGGACUGAGAUACGGCCCAGACUCCUACGGGAGGCAGCAGGGGGGAAUAUUGCACAAUGGGCGGAGGCCUGAGGCAGCAACGCCGCGUGCGGGAUGACGGCCUUCGGUUUGUAAACCGCUUUCGCCUGUGACGAGGCGUGAGUGACGGUAAUGGGUAAAGAAGCACCGGCUAACUACGUG